rnacentral:piRNA from 1 species
UGAGUCAAGGGAUCUUUGGUUCUUG